rnacentral:rRNA from 1 species
GACGAACGCUGGCGGCGUGCUUAACACAUGCAAGUCGAACGGAAAGGCCCUGCUUGCAGGGUACUCGAGUGGCGAACGGGUGAGUAACACGUGGGUGAUCUGCCCUGCACUUCGGGAUAAGCUUGGGAAACUGGGUCUAAUACCGGAUAGGAGCCAUCUUUAGUGUGGUGGUUGGAAAGUUUUUUCGGUGUAGGAUGAGCUCGCGGCCUAUCAGCUUGUUGGUGGGGUAAUGGCCUACCAAGGCGGCGACGGGUAGCCGGCCUGAGAGGGUGUACGGCCACAUUGGGACUGAGAUACGGCCCAGACGCCUACGGGAGGCAGCAGGGGGGAAUAUUGCACAAUGGGCGCAAGCCUGAUGCAGCGACGCCGCGUGGGGGAUGAAGGCCUUCGGGUUGGAAACUCCUUUCGCUAGGGACGAAGCUUUUUGUGACGGUACCUAGAGAAGAAGCACCGGCUAACUACGUG